rnacentral:lncRNA from 1 species
GAGACUCAGCCUGCCUGCACCCAGGUGAUUAAAAAGCUUUAUUGCUCACACAAAGCCUGUUUGGCGGUCUCUUCACACGGAUGUGAGUGAAAUUUGGUCCCGAAAUUUGGUGCCGUGACUCGGAUCAGGGGCGUGGGGGGGUGGGGACCUCCCUUGGGAGAUCAAUCCCCUGUCCUCCUGCUCUUUGCUCCGUGAGAAAGAUCUACUUACGACCUCUGGUCCUCAGACCAACCAGCCCAAGGAACAUCUCACCAAUUUUAAAUCGGGACCCCACUGUUCAACUCACCUGGCAGCCACUCCCAGAGCCCCUGGAACUCUGGCCCAAGGCUCUCUGACUGACUCCUUCCCAGAUUUACUCGGCUUAGCGGCUGAAGACCGAUGCUGCCCGAUUGCCUCGGAAGCCCCCUAGACCAUCACGGACGCCAAGCUUUGGGUAACUCUCACAGUGGAGGGGGGGAAACACUGUGGACUGGCAUGCUGCUGGCCACCACUUCCCAGCUGAAGACUCAGGAGCGCCAUGUGGAAGAACUCAUCUCACAGAUAUUGGCAAAAGCUACCAAGCAGGACUUGAUUUAUUGUUUUGUUCAUUGUCUAGACUAAGAAAGUGAUGAAAUGUUAAUAAUGGAUAAUGAUUAAUGAAAUGGAUAAUGAAAAUGAAAAAUAAUUAAUGUAAAUUAAAUGUGAAAGUGUGUCCUACUUGUAGCUGUUAUACUGUGAAUAACUUUAAGAAGAAACCUUAGUAAAUAUUCCUCCAGUUUUCAAAAAUUAUUUUCUAGUUCGGCAAAGAAGUCAUUCACAUCACUGAUAAAUGAAUGAAGUUCUAACAGAUGUCUUUAUUGAUUCACUUUUAUUUUAUUUGUUAACAUAAAUGAAAAUACAGGUGAUGUUCAUGUCAGAACACUUUCAUCAAAUGCAACCACAGUUUGGCUAUGAAUAUAGAAGCCUGGCAAAAAUCAAUAAAAGCAGUCUGUGAGAAUCAAUUGAUUAUAAGGAAUUUCCAAUAAAGAAUAUUAUAUAUGUUGUUACUUGUAAAUAGCAUGAUAUACCUUCUUUAUAUCAGAAAAGUUUAUAAUAAAGUUAUGUGUGUAUG